CGCGUAGGUGGUAGUGAAAGUCUAUGGUGGAAUCUUAGGGCUUAACCCUAAAACUGCCUUGGAAACUUCAUUACUUGAGUCAGUGAGGGGAGGGGUAGAAUUCCUGGUGUAGCGGUGAAAUGCGUAGAUAUCAGGAGGAAGGCCGGUGGCGAAGGCGGCCCUCUGGCGCUGAACUGACGCUGAGGCGCGAAAGCGUGGGUAGCAAACAGGAUUAGAUACCCUGGUAGUCCACGCCCUAAACGGUGGGUACUAGGUGUAGGGCUCGUAAGGGUUCUGUGCCGAAGGGAAACCAUUAAGUACCCCGCCUGGGGAGUACGGCCGCAAGGUUGAA
rnacentral:rRNA from 1 species